GACGAACGCUGGCGGCGUGCCUAACACAUGCAAGUCGAACGAAGCUCUGCGAUACAAGACUUCGGUCAAGUUGAACGGAUGACUUAGUGGCGGACGGGUGAGUAACGCGUGAGGAACCUGCCUUUCAGUGGGGGACAACAGUUGGAAACGACUGCUAAUACCGCAUAAUGUAUUCUGACCGCAUGAUCGGAAUACCAAAGAUUUAUUGCUGAAAGAUGGCCUCGCGUCUGAUUAGAUAGUUGGUGAGGUAACGGCCCACCAAGUCAACGAUCAGUAGCCGGACUGAGAGGUUGAACGGCCACAUUGGGACUGAGAUACGGCCCAGACUCCUACGGGAGGCAGCAGUGGGGAAUAUUGGGCAAUGGGGGAAACCCUGACCCAGCAACGCCGCGUGAAGGAAGAAGGCUUUCGGGUUGUAAACUUCUUUUACCAGGGACGAAGGACGUGACGGUAC
rnacentral:rRNA from 1 species